rnacentral:rRNA from 1 species
AGCGAACGCUGGCGGCGUACGUAACACAUGCAAGUCGAGCGCGGGUUGGGGGGCAACUCCCGGCCUGAGCGGCGCACGGGUGAGUAACACGUGGGUGACCUGUCCUGGAGCCGGGGAUACCCCUUCGAAAGGAGGGCUAAUACCGGGUACGCUCCUUGAGCUGCGAGGCCUGGGGAGGAAAGGUAGCUGGCAACGGCUGCCGCUCGAGGAGGGGCUCGCGGCCUAUCAGCUAGNGGUGAGGUAACGGCUCACCAAGGCGAUGACGGGUAGCUGGUCUGAGAGGACGACCAGCCACACGGGGACGUGAGACACGGCCCCGACUCCUACGGGAGGCAGCAGUGGGGAAUCUUCCGCAAUGGGCGCAAGCCUGACGGAGUGACGCCGCGUGGGGACGAA